rnacentral:rRNA from 1 species
UGAGGAAUAUUGGUCAAUGGGCGCAAGCCUGAACCAGCCAUCCCGCGUGAAGGAAGAAGGCCCUACGGGUUGUAAACUUCUUUUCUGUUUGAAGAAUAAGCUCGUCGAGACGAGUGAUGCCGGUAGGACAGGAAUAAGCAUCGGCUAACUCCGUGCCAGCAGCCGCGGUAAUACGGAGGAUGCAAGCGUUAUCCGGAUUUAUUGGGUUUAAAGGGUGCGCAGGUGGUUUAAUAAGUCAGUGGUGAAAGUCUGGCGCUUAACGUUAGGAUUGCCAUUGAUACUGUUAGACUUGAAUAUGGAUGAGGUAGGCGGAAUGUGUAGUGUAGCGGUGAAAUGCUUAGAUAUUACACAGAACACCGAUUGCGAAGGCAGCUUACUAAUCCAUUAUUGACGCUGAGGCACGAAAGCGUGGGGAUCAAACAG